rnacentral:lncRNA from 1 species
AAUGAAAUGAGCUUUAGUACUAUAAUUUCUUAUCUCCAUUUACACCAAAAGUAAGCUGAGAUUUCAGUGGUCCUGCAUUCUGUUGCUUUACUCUGUAGUUUACCAGUGUGAAAGCAAAUGAUUGAAGCUUUUCGGUAUGUUGGAAACAAUUUAGUUUAAAAUUUUUUACUUUGUGGUAUUCUAAUAUCUUUAGCAUAUUUGUACUGCUCAUUUCAUUGUGCAAAACAUGUAGAUAUGGACAAUUUAAAUUCCCUCAUUGAAAGUUGUUAUGGUUUGAAUAUGAAGUGUCCUCCCCCCCCCAAAGAUGCAUAUGAUGAAGGCUUGGUCCCUGAUGCAACAGUGUUCAGAGUGGGGUUUGGGGGAAAGGAUUGGAUCGUGAUGACUGUGACCUCAUCAGUGAAUUAGCCCAUCGAGGGAUUCCUAGCUGUGAAAGGACUAUUGGAACGUGGUGGAAACUAUAGGAGGUGAAGCCUCGUUGGAGGGAGUGAAUCCUUGAGGGCAUGCCCUUGGAGACUCUGUCUUGUCUCUUUCUCUGCUUUCUAGCCACCAUGAGAUAAGCAGCUUUCCUCCACCCUCACCCAGGGCCCUCACCUAGCUAUCUGCCUCACAUCAGUACCAAAGCAAUGGAACUAACCAACUAUGAAGUGAAACCUCUGAAACCCUGAGCCAAAAUAAAUUCUUCCUCUUUUGUUUUUGUUAAGCAUUUUGUCAUAGUAUUGUAAAGCUUACUAACAUAGAAAUAUAAUUAUUUUUUUCUACUGAGAUAUUUGGAGGCAUCUAGAAAUAUAAUAUUGUAUUUAGCAUGGACACAAAUAAUUUUUAAUGUGAAUGGUGUAUUACAACUAUGUCCAUUCUCCUUUUACGUGUCAUUAAAAAGUAAACCAAAUGGAUAAUACAAAUGGCCAUCCCGAAAGGAUAUAAGCAAGCUUAACUUCCACAUUACAAAAGUUUCUAAAUGUACUGUUCAUUAAAUUUUUUUGAGUACUAUGUGUGCUACGGGGGAAAAUGAAGCAGGGUAAGGAGGAUGGGGAAGCAGUGUGGAUGAGACAGAGGUAGAAGCCUUGUUUGUGGUGGCCAUGAAUGAGUGAUCAGGCUUUGAAAGUCUUGAGCGAGCUUUUCAGCUACCUGGGGAAGCCUUUCAGUCAAACCAGCUAGUGCAGAUGUCCAAGGAGGUAGGUAUAUCUGUGUUUCCAGCCCACACAUUGACAUACACACUAAGUGAUGUGUUUCCUGAGCAUUUUGUUUCAUAGACUUGCUUUAGUAUAUUUUAGUU